rnacentral:tRNA from 1 species
ACCAGCAUGGUGUAGUGGUUUGAGUGUUGGACUCUGACUCUGGAGUCCAGGGUUCGAUUCCUUGCUCAGCCA